UGAUCUUUCUCCUCCCCCCUCCGCUACCUCACUCCUCAUUCUUUUCCUCCCUCCCUGGAUCCCCUCUCUCGUCAAGCUCGCCGUUGCAACGCCAGCCGCAGGGACCAGCGGGAUCCGCCAGCCGUCGGUCCGGAUCGACGUCCACGCCUCCGGCUCCGGCAUGCACGCCUGCUAGACACCGCCGUGAACCACCUCGUUUCUCCGAACCUCUUGAACCAAGGCUGCCUUUCUCGGUUCCAUCAGCCGCCGUUGCGACGCCGCGGCGGUCAUCCUCCUCCCCGAGCAACUACAGGGACCGUGACGGGCUCUGCGUCUGGACAACGGACUCGAAGCCGCGGGUCCCUCCUACUUCUUCCUCGACCACUGACCGCCAUUGACGUCGUCCGGAACUCCCUGCCAUCCGUCCUCUCGCCUCCCUGAUCCGUCCGACCAGGCCGCCAUGAACAACAAGGACAUUCAUGAGGGUUUGAAUUUUUCUGCUGCUGCUGAUGAAUCCUCCUUUGGAAUCUUUUAAAUAAAGUUUUCAAAAGAUGGCCGUGAACUUGUUGUUGGAAACAGCAAUGAGUCAAUAUGUAUUUAUGAUCUUGGAGGAAACAAAGUGACAGAGCGAAUUCAUGCUCAUGUGAACUUCAUAACAGAGGAGACUGGAAGAUGGAGAGAAAGGGACAAGGGAGAGGCGGCCCUCAGCCACGGCCGCCCACGCCCAGCCUCGAUCCCCUCCGGAUCGGGAUCGGGAGAGCCAGCGCUCGAUCCCUGCCUCGCCUCGCCACCUCGACGUCGGCGAGCCCUGCCAAAACCAGCUUCACAGGCGCCACCCUUCCUUCCUCUCCUUCCUCUCGUUUUCCCCUUCCUCCAUCCCGUGCUCUCUCUUAUCUAUCUCUCUCUCUCUCUGUUCGAACAGGAGAUACCCAGCCGCCCCAGCUAGGCCCAGUCGAGCCACGUUAACCUUCAGUUGAGAUGGACGGCGGCGCAGAGGGGACGGCGAGGUCGCCGGCAAGUACAACGACGACCGAUUGGCGGAGGCUCUGGUCGAGCGGCGAGCCCUCCCGGGCGGCGCACAGCGAGGAGCUCGGGCGCGCGGAGGAGAGGAGGAUCUGAGGCUUAACGGUGGUGCAGGGUGCUGCACUCGCCAGCGUCGGCCGGCGCGGCACCGGAUGAGCGUCGGGGUGGGCGCCUCCUUGCGGCUGGAAUCGGGAGGCGAGGGAGAGAGAGGAGAGCCCGUCCUGGUCCGCGGGUUGAGUAUAGGGAUUUAUUUGCAAAGUUGUCGAACGAAACGUUUUUUCACUUAAAAAAGGAGUGCGGGUUGAAUACGAAAAACUAUAGGGACUUUUCUGCAAAAACGGCGGCGACGUACGACCAGAU